rnacentral:lncRNA from 1 species
UUGCUAAAAUAAGUCAUAUUUCAUUAUUCACACAUCUUUCAAUUUAUUAUUCUCUCUAAUGAGUAAUGUCAUAUAUUUUUCACCAUGGCAAGCUCAAAGAUUCAAUUCAAAAGGUAAUUUCCAACAAUGAAUACAACUCACUGCAAUUGAUUCAACUUAGGUUUAAAGAGUCAUCACAUCAAUGGGGUCAUGGAAAGAAAACUCAUUCAACAUAGCCUAUGUAUUUGAGUAAAGCAUACCAAAACAGAAAAAAGAAAAAAAACUGUGGCUACAUGUAUGUGAAUUAAAGGCAAAAAUAACAAAAAUGAAAAAAAUUCACCUAAUGUGUGCUAACUAAAAAUUAAAGCUAAAAUGGACUUAAAAUAAAAAUUUAAAGAUAUGUGC